GGUCGUAGCUCAGUGGUAGAGCAUCUGCCUUGCAAGCAGAAGGUCCCAGGAUCAAUCUCCAGGCAGAACUG
rnacentral:tRNA from 1 species